rnacentral:rRNA from 1 species
GAUGAACGCUAGCGGGAGGCCUAACACAUGCAAGCCGAGCGGUAGAGUUCUUUCGGGAACUUGAGAGCGGCGUACGGGUGCGUAACACGUGUGCAACCUACCUUUAUUUGGGGGAUAGCCUUUCGAAAGGAAGAUUAAUACCCCAUAAUAUACUGAUUGGCAUCAAUUAUUAUUGAAAACUCCGGUGGCUAGAGAUGGGCACGCGCAAGAUUAGAUAGUUGGUGAGGUAACGGCUCACCAAGUCAAUGAUCUUUAGGGGUCCUGAGAGGGAGAUCCCCCACACUGGUACUAAGACACGGACCAGACUCCUACGGGAGGCAGCAGUGAGGAGUAUUAGACAAUGGGUGAAAGCCUGGUCCAGCCGUCCCGCGUGAAGGAUGACGGUCCUAUGGAUUGUAAACUUCUUUUGUACAGGGAUAAACCUACUCUCAUGAGGGUAGCUGAAGGUACUGUACGAAUAAGCACCGGCUAACUCCGUG